rnacentral:tRNA from 1 species
GCCAGGCUGGCUCAGUUGGUAGAGCAUGUGACCUUUGAUUUUGGGGUUGUGAGUUCGAGCCCCAUGUGUGGUG